rnacentral:rRNA from 1 species
CUAUAACGGUCCUAAGGUAGCGAAAUUCCUUGUCGGGUAAGUUCCGACCCGCACGAAAGGCGUAACGAUUUGGGCACUGUCUCAACAACAGACUCGGUGAAAUUGUAAUUCCGGUGAAGAUGCCGGAUACCUGCGACAGGACGGAAAGACCCCAUGGAGCUUUACUGUAGCUUGACAUUGGGGCUUGGUACUACAUGUACAGGAUAGGUGGGAGGCUUUGAAACCAGGACGACAGUUUUGGCGGAGCCAUCCUUGGGAUACCACCCUUGUAGUACUGGGACUCUAACCAUAGGCCAUGAAUCUGGUCUUGGGACACUGUCAGGUGGGCAGUUUGACUGGGGCGGUCGCCUCCCAAAAGG